rnacentral:rRNA from 1 species
AGUGAACGCUGGCGGUAGGCCUAACACAUGCAAGUCGAACGGCAGCACAGUAAGAGCUUGCUCUUACGGGUGGCGAGUGGCGGACGGGUGAGGAAUACAUCGGAAUCUACUUUUUCGUGGGGGAUAACGUAGGGAAACUUACGCUAAUACCGCAUACGACCUACGGGUGAAAGCAGGGGAUCUUCGGACCUUGCGCGAUUGAGUGAGCCGAUGUCGGAUUAGCUAGUUGGCGGGGUAAAGGCCCACCAAGGCGACGAUCCGUAGCUGGUCUGAGGGGAUGAUCAGCCACACUGGAACUGAGACACGGUCCAGACUCCUACGGGAGGCAGCAGUGGGGAAUAUUGGACAAUGGGCGCAAGCCUGAUCCAGCCAUACCGCGUGGGUGAAGAAGGCCUUCGGGUUGUAAAGCCCUUUUGUUGGGAAAGAAAAGCAGCAGGUUAAUACCCCGCUGUUCUGACGGUACCCAAAGAAUAAGCACCGGCUAACUUCGUG